rnacentral:rRNA from 1 species
GACGUAGGGCGCGAGCGUUGUCCGGAAUUAUUGGGCGUAAAGAGCUCGUAGGCGGUGUGUCGCGUCGGCCGUGAAAACCUUGGGCUUAACUCAGGGCUUGCUUUCGAUACGGGCAGACUAGAGGUAUGCAGGGGAGAACGGAAUUCCUGGUGUAGCGGUGAAAUGCGCAGAUAUCAGGAGGAACACCGGUGGCGAAGGCGGGUCUCUGGGCCGAUACUGACGCUGAGGAGCGAAAGCGUGGGGAGCAAACAGG